ensembl:snRNA U6 U6 spliceosomal RNA
GUGUUCGCUUCGGCAGCACAUAUACUAAAAUUGGAAUACAGAGAUUAGCAUGGCCCCUGAGCAAGGAUGACACGCAAAUUCAUGAAGUGUUCCAUAUUUUU